rnacentral:misc_RNA from 1 species
UAGUCAGCAUUCUGCCACUGUACCCGCUUUCACGGACAUCUGCUGCUGCUCACCUCGUGCCUACCCUCACAUGGAAGCCAGGCAUUGACGUCUCUCACCCCAUCUCUCUGCUCACGUGCCAUCCAUUACGGGACCCACUGACGGACCACAUGAAAGGUUUGCGUGCCACUGUCCUCCUCGACCCGGCGUAAGUUCACGACCACGUCAAAGACGAUCUCUCUGCCGAGGGUGUGCGGCGCGCGUGUGUGUCUUCGUGUUCCUCUGCGCGGACACAGAACUGAUUGCGCUGCUCUCGCCUUCCACACCGAUAUCGAUGCGUAGAUACACAACGAGCACUGGCCGCACGAGUACAUGUGCGCUCGCUACACACCACUACAUCUAAGCAAGCGUUGUGCUGCGGAACAACUGCCACAGCGAUCCGCCGACGAAGCAGGCCGUGGUGCCGCGUAAGACAAGCAUUACGGAAGGGCAUAGAAGAAAGGCGAAACGAGGCGUAGUGCCGCUCAAGGCUGCAUAUGACGGACGCUAUCAUCCACCUCACUGCGGGCACCGUGGCGGGUAUGACCGGCGUUCUCCUCGACUACCCGCUUGAUACCGUAAAGACGCGCAUGCAAGUGAGCAGGUGCGCAAAGUUGCCCUGCCGCUACAGUCCCACGGCGGUCACGGCAGCGACCAGCCUGAGCGCUGCCGCGCCGGCGACGUACUGGCAGUGCGCCUCCCAGCUCUAUCGGCGCGGCGGUAUUCGAUCAUUUUACUGCGGCCUGAGUGUGCCGCUGGCAGCCCAGGGCGCCGAGACCGCCGUUGUCUUCUCGGUCUACAACGUAUCUCUGCAGCACUUUCUGCGCAAGGAGCAGCUACAGCGCCAGGAGCAAGAGCGGGCAAGGCUGUCAGGGUGUCGGGGUGAUCACAAGGCACGAUCCCAUCGGCAUCAGCACAUGCACGGCAAACAUGAGCACCCCCAGCAGCAGCCGCAUGUGUCUGUGUGGAGCUCGCCGGCGCACUGGAAAGCCUCUGCGUGUGCGGGUCUCGCCGUGUCACUCAUCUUGACGCCGGUAGAAAUGCUCAAGUGCAACAUGCAGAUGGAGAGCGCCAGGCCGUGCUGGAGGCGGCGCCAUACGACGGCGCGCGGCCUCGCUCGUCAUCUGGUGGCGACGCACGGUUUGCGUGGUCUCUACACCGGGGUGACCGGCACUGUGACGCGUGCUGUGCUCGGCAACAUGGCGUAUUUUGUGUCCUAUGAGCAGUGCCGGGAGUGGCUGGCGCAGAAGUUUGCCUCAUCGCUGCGCGAUGGCGAAGCUGCGCCGAUUUGGCACUCCAUGCUCGCCGGCGGGAUCAGUGGGUGCUGCUACUGGAGCGUCGCCUAUCCGGCCGACGUGGCCAAGACGAAAAUGCAGGUCUGUCCGACAGCGCGACAGCAAGGCUUUACGAGGACGCUUGCUAGCUUGUACCGCAGCGGAGGAGUGGAGGCGCUGUUUCGAGGCUGGGGUGUCACGGUGGUGCGAGCAUUCUUGUCGAGCAGCAUCGUCUUCACCACCCACGAGCACAGCAGCAGCACCUUGAGGGAGCUCUCUUCCGUGUAUCGCGUGCUUGCGGGUGACAGUGCCGCGGCGUCGGCAUCGAGCGCCGCCUGUGAGCCGGAAGAGGAGCUGAUUUCUCACCGCUACUGAGGACACACAGCCCUGCCGCUUGUGGCGGUCAUGGGGCACACACACACACACACAGGGGCAUAAUGGUACUUUCAAGCUUCUUGCCCUGCUCUCUAGCGGACGAGCACCAACUCGGACCGUCCCCGCUCACUCGUGCUCCAAGCGCGCCUCUUCGACGUCGAACGAACAGCACCAGUGACUCUCUUUACCGCCCACCGCUGCCCCCUUUGGUAUCCGUAAAAGCGUUGGUGGCGCGUGUGGCGCCUCUCUUUCUCUCGUGGUCUCUGUCGCUGCUUGCGUCGGCGGCGCCUCGGGCGCACGCGGUCGUGGCCUUGAUGCGGCUGCUUGCGGCCGUGUAACAUAUCACCUGGUGCUGCUGCUGCUGCUCUUCCUGUAUGACCCUCCUCCCUUUUGUUCGCCGUGCGCCGCCUGCGCAUGUGCUUGUGCGCGUACGUGGGCUGCGGCUGCCUUCGUGACCCUCGCCGUGUCUCCGACCUCGGCCCUUCUCCGCGACAGCUCUUCUUGCCGCCUCGCCGUGGUUGUCCAGAUAUUGCUUUUCCGCUCUGAGCCUGUUCUACGUCGGCGCUUCGCAGUACUUCGUAUCUCGUUUACAUCUCUCCGAGUCUCUCGUUUUCUGCAGUGCAGCAGCCACCGCCACGCAGGGCUUCUCUUUUUCUCUGCUGUUGGUCUGCGUCCUCUUCCCCGCCACCAUUGCCCCCCCCCUCCCCCCUCGAUCCGACGAUUGGGCUGUCGCGCAAGCGGGGGGCCCCACCCCUCCUCCUCUGUGUCUCCUGUUCUCUCUCGCUCCAUCUCUCUGUCUUCACAACAAUGAAAGAGUGCCGUUGACAAGCACCAGCGAACAAACGGAAGCCGAAAUCGCUAGAGAGAGACAGGGUGGGGGGGGGGCAAAACAGCUGGAAAGACGGGCCCGAUACGCUGACCUCGCUUAUCGACACAGGCGCGUUGGGUGUGGAGGGCGACGUGAAGUGGAUUGUCUAGGGCGACCUCUGAUUACAGGUUUGUACAACGCGAUUUACGGCAGCGUUGCGCGCGCGCUUUUUCCCUGAACAUUCCCAUCUUGCGACCAUAUGUGCCCAGCGAACCCAUCUACCGAUAGACCGACAAGCCGAGAGGGGAAGCACGGUUUUGGAUAUCCACACGCAUACACAAACACUAACACACACAUAUAUAUAUAUAUGUGUGUGUGUGCAUCGGCGCACGACGCAUCCUCGCUGCUGCGACAUGAGCACCGCUGACAUCGUUAUGCUUUUUCGCGUGUGUGCCUCUCCUCCUUGCCUCUAUUUCGUUUGAGCGGUGUUUUGGGCGGGGGAGGACCGCGUCGCUGUACCGCUCUCGCUGCGCGGCUCUCACGAUGUUUGCCCGACGCCUGUCUGCUCGCCUCCCCUCUUCCGUUUCGAGCCGCUUUUGUGUCUUUCAUUACCCCGCACCUUAG